GACGAACGCUGGCGGCGUGCCUAAUACAUGCAAGUCGAACGCUGAAGGAGGAGCUUGCUUCUCUGGAUGAGUUGCGAACGGGUGAGUAACGCGUAGGUAACCUGCCUGGUAGCGGGGGAUAACUAUUGGAAACGAUAGCUAAUACCGCAUAAGAGUAGCUGUUGCAUGACAUUUGCUUAAAAGGUGCAAUUGCAUCACUACCAGAUGGACCUGCGUUGUUUUGGCUAGUUGGUGGGGUAACGGCGCACCAAGGCGACGAUACAUAGCCGAACUGAGAGGGUGGGCAGCCGGCCUGGGAGGGAGACAGGGCCCAGAGUGCUAGGGGAGGGGGCAGUAGGGAAUCGUGGGGAAGGGGCGGAAGUCUGACCGAGCAAGGCCGCGGGCGGGAAGAAGGGUGUCGGGUGGGGAAGGUCUGUUGUAGGGGAAGAAAGAGUGUGAGCGUGGAAAGAUCAGAGUGUGACGGUAACGGAUCAGGAAGGGACGGCUAACUACGUG
rnacentral:rRNA from 1 species